rnacentral:lncRNA from 1 species
GCCGCCCCCCGCCGCAUCCCCUCACAGUGCUGGAGUGGGGUUCUGUGCUUUACAUGCCCCAGGGCAUGGCUCAAUCUGGCAAACCCUGGAGUGAAGCUGCUUUCAGCGUGUGGAGACUGAGUGCCACCGACAGCCUGUUGUCUGUUCGUGCUCAGAGAGUUAUGUGGAAGGACAGGAGUGACUCAGUAAUAGGAAGUAUUAGUUGCACUGAGGCAAAACCAGAAAGAUACACCACAAAGAAGCACCAACUGCCUGGUAU